CAUACGUUAACAUAGGCUCAUGACUGUUGUUUUGCUAAGAUUGCUUUGAGGAACAGGGUCCACUUGAUCAAAGUCAUCUUAGCACUAAAAGGUCCUCUUAUGAUG